rnacentral:rRNA from 1 species
UACGUAGGGUGCGAGCGUUGUCCGGAAUUAUUGGGCGUAAAGGGCUCGUAGGCGGUCUGUUGCGUCGGGAGUGAAAACUCAGGGCUUAACCCUGAGCCUGCUUCCGAUACGGGCAGACUAGAGGUAUGCAGGGGAGAACGGAAGUUCCUGGUGUAGCGGUGAAAUGCGCAGAUAUCGGGAGGAACACCGGUGGCGAAGGCGGUUCUCUGGGCCUGACCUGACGCUGAGGAGCGAAAGCGUGGGGAGCGAACAGG